UUUAUGAAGGCGUCCAUUCUGCCGCCGAAUUCAUAUACCGAUUCUUAUACAUGGCUGGGGUAUACAAAAGGUCUGUGGGAUAGUGCGUGUUUCAAUAAUGUAACAUAUGUUUGCAGCAGGUGUCACGUGGAAAGAUUUUAAAACAUGUGAAAGGCAAUACCUGCACACUGGUUAUAGACGACUUCAUAUGUACAUAGACCAUUGGAUACACAAAGUUGAAAUAUCCAUUAGAAAAAUGAUAUCCGUAUGUUAUAUUCUAAUACCUUAUACCCCACAGUGUCAUUAAAUAUAUCGAACGUCCACUUCCUGCCAAGGAAGACCAUCAAAUGUCCAGUUGGCUUCCUUUCUCGGUAAAGAGCAGUGAAUAAAAAUUGGCCCAAGGACAGAACGAGUACAAACACACCAGGCCUAGAUGAAAUUUAACUAAAACACGGCGCCUGCUCUCGGUAAGGAUUGCUAGGUGCUCCUAUAGAUAGAAUCUCACAGUGGUGCCGAUUGAGUUGCAGCGGAUUCUAACGUACCCACCAUUCCUCGUCAUUCUCCUUUUACCUUUUUAUUUCUAUUUUUUUUCCACCCUCCGCCACUCACUUCUUCGUUUUAUCUUCGUACCCUUAGACCCUAGACUAUUUUCCACGAGCAUCCCCGUAACCCCCCUAGACCCUGUCUCUUCCACGAAAAUAUACCGCAGCCGUUAUAUUUGGAGUUUCACAGCAGCGCCACCAGCGCCACGUAGCGGAACUAUCGCAGUCGACCGUCGCUGACAGUUUUUUCAGAGACAAAGCCGAACUGAAUUUCCAGCACUUGGAUAUAAAUAAUCAGUUGUUUUCUGCAACGUAUAAACGAAACUCGCCUACGGGUACCUAAUUUUCAUCAUAGGCGCAAGCAAGUCUAUCGCACCAGUCUUCCCUAUGAGUCAUCCUGGUGCUAAGAGAGACAAGUCGGCGAGUUAAAUCGAUAGAGGAACGCGAGCGAGACAGAGAGAGACAACCGUGCAUUUUUCAUAUAUACAAGUGUAUACGGAUACUCCAGAGGAUAUUUGAUGUAAGCCGAAGAGGAGUAUAAGGGCAGAGUACAAAGUGGCACUAAUAUAGGUAUACACAGUUCAGGUCCAGUGUAUCCGGAAUAGAAUGAAAGUAGGAGGUCCGCGAGUACACUGUAUACCUAGCGGAAAGCGCCAUAUCAGAGAGUAGCGAGACGAGAUCCGAGAGAGGGGGUGUAUAACGAGGGUGGCUUUUUUCAAAGAGGGCACACGAGCCCAGACUACGGUAGAAGGGGGGUUACGCGUAGAAAAAAAGCCCUCUCGACUUUAGGUCCCUCGCGUAUUAAUAACGCACAAGUGCGCGAGAGCAUUGAGUAGAAAAAGAGACGGGAAAACAUGAGCGAUUCAAACUCUGAUGAAUCACACAAUACACACGGUGCAUAACUAUACAGCGAGUAUACCUAUAUGGCCCGUGUUAAAACGCUGAGGAUGUACGAUAAAGACAAAUAUAUAUGUAUAUACACAAUAA